GCAUAUCAAUAAGCGGAGGAAAAGAAACCAACAGGGAUUGCCCUAGUAACGGCGAGUGAAGCGGCAACAGCUCAAAUUUGAAAUCUGGCUUUCGGGCCCGAGUUGUAAUUUGUAGAGGAUGAUUUUGAUGCGGUGCCUUCCGAGUUCCCUGGAACGGGACGCCAUAGAGGGUGAGAGCCCCGUCUGGUUGGAUGCCAAAUCUCUGUAAAUCUCCUUCGACGAGUCGAGUAGUUUGGGAAUGCUGCUCUAAAUGGGAGGUAUAUGUCUUCUAAAGCUAAAUACCGGCCAGAGACCGAUAGCGCACAAGUAGAGUGAUCGAAAGAUGAAAAGCACUUUGAAAAGAGAGUUAAAAAGUACGUGAAAUUGUUGAAAGGGAAGCGUUUAUGACCAGACUUGGGCUUGGUUAAUCAUCUGGGGUUCUCUCCAGUGCACUUUUCCAGCCCAGGCCAGCAUCAGUUUUCGCCGGGGGAUAAAGACUUCGGGAAUGUGGCUCCCCUCGGGGAGUGUUAUAGCCCGUUGUGUAAUACCCUGGCGGGGACUGAGGUUCGCGCUUCUGCAAGGAUGCUGGCGUAAUGGUCAUCAACGACCCGUCUUGAAACACGGACCAAGGAGUCGUCUUCGUAUGCGAGUGUUCGGGUGUCAAACCCCUACGCGUAAUGAAAGUGAACGCAGGUGAGAGCUUCGGCGCAUCAUCGACCGAUCCUGAUGUUCUCGGAUGGAUUUGAGUAAGAGCAUACGGGGCCGGACCCGAAAGAAGGUGAACUAUGCCUGUGUAGGGUGAAGCCAGAGGAAACUCUGGUGGAGGCUCGCAGCGGUUCUGACGUGCAAAUCGAUCGUCAAACCAUGGGCAUGGGGGCGAAAGACUAAUCGAACCUUCUAGUAGCUGGUUUCCGCG
rnacentral:rRNA from 1 species